rnacentral:sRNA from 1 species
UCUGCGCAUGGCGUCGGCGAACGCACG